AAAAAAAAAAACAUUUACCUUUCAAAAUCAUUACAUCUUGAAAUAAAAUAGCUAGCAAAAUUUACAAGACUAUUAAUCAUAAGAUUGGCUUCCUUACGAAUAUGAUUAAAUUCGAGAGUGAUAUGUUUCUUAUUAUAUUAAAAUAUAAAUGGUUAUAACUAUAUAUACAUAACUUGACUGCUACAUACAUUUCAUGUCUAAUCUCCA
rnacentral:lncRNA from 1 species